rnacentral:lncRNA from 1 species
CCAUCUCAGUGUUUUAUAUGCCUGAUAAAACUGAAAAUAUUAAUGAUUAUAAAAGCUAUCUACUCUGUAUUGAGUUUGUUCAAAACGAGUUAGACCCUUGUUGAGAGAUUUAUCAUGCUCCUAAGAUCAAGACAUUUAUUCAGAAAGAUUCACUCUUCCGAAGUAUUAUUGCAUUAGAGGCAUGGGCUAUGCAAAAAAAAUAGAGAUAUUUCGAGGAAAUAAAAAGGAGCAAGUGCUCGACAACCUCGCAGAAAAAUGGACAAGUGUCCGGCAGUAGAAUUAGGGAUACCUCGGUAUCCACUUAAAAAAAAGAGAGAAAAGAAGAAAAUGAUAGCCCAUGGUCCCUCUAAUAAGCAAUAUGCCAGCAAGAGUUGACAAAGAUUUUAAUUUCCAAAGUCUUUGAUCUAAGAGUAUGACAUUCCCCUCCUCGGAUCGCGUUUUGAUCAGGCAAUAAAUGCAAAGUAAGUAUGCUUAAGAAUUUUUGCAAAUUAAAACAACCUCAGUGAGAUAUAUAAAAGAUAAUGAGUGAUCUGAGAGAACCUAUGAGGAUAAAAAGGUAUGCUAACUUUCUUUCAAAAAUAUACAAAAACUCCAAGUGACAGGAUUGAGAAGAAAGGAUCUUUACUCUUAGCCAUAUACUUCCCUGACUACAGUACACAGCGGAAAUUUUAACCAUCCUUUUCUCGAGGACGAGUAAAAGCCUAAGUAUGGGGG